UUUGAUCCUGGCUCAGGACGAACGCUGGCGGCGUGCUUAACACAUGCAAGUCGAACGGUAAGGCCCCAGCUUGCUGGGGUACACGAGUGGCGAACGGGUGAGUAACACGUGGGUGACCUGCCCCGCACUUCGGGAUAAGCCUGGGAAACUGGGUCUAAUACCGGAUAGGACCGCACCGUGAGGGUGUGGAGGAAAGUUUUUCGGUGUGGGAUGGGCCCGCGGCCUAUCAGCUUGUUGGUGGGGUAAUGGCCUACCAAGGCGGCGACGGGUAGCCGGCCUGAGAGGGUGGACGGCCACAUUGGGACUGAGACACGGCCCAAACUCCUACGGGAGGCAGCAGUGGGGAAUAUUGCACAAGGGGCGGAAGCCUGAUGCAGCGACGCCGCGUGGGGGAUGACGGCCUUCGGGUUGUAAACUCCUUUCACCAUCGACAAAGGUUUUCUGACGGUAAAUGGAAAAAAAAGCACCGGCUAAACUACGUGGCACCCAGCCGCGGAAAUACUAGGGGGGCGAACCGUUUGUCCCGGAAUUACUGGGGAUAAAAAACCUCGUAAGGGGGGUUUGUCGGCGACCUCGGUAAAAUUUCCGGGGGCUAAACUCGGGGCGGGCGGGCAAAUACGAGGAAUUAAUUGAAUACUGGGAGGGAAAACUGGAAUUUCUUGGUGAACCGGGGAAAAUGCACAAAUAUUCAGGAAAAACACCGGGGGGGAAGGGGGGGUCUUUUGGG
rnacentral:rRNA from 1 species